rnacentral:lncRNA from 1 species
GCAAGCUUAAUUUCAUAAUUGAGAUUUUGUAGACUUGCAUAUUUGUGUGUUAAUAGGGUUCUGGCAUAUAAUGGAAAGGAGUAGAUAAAAAUUGUACUGCUAAUCAGAUCUGUUGUCUCAUAAUUCUAAUAGUAUAGUGAAUUAAAUUUAGUUUCAUGUUAAAAGCUAUCAAAAAGAUGUUUAUUCAGUGGUUUGAUUGACGUAAUAUUAUGAUAUUAUUAGGUAGUUGUGCUCAUUUUUCUUCUUGCAUGAUAGAAUAUUAUUAACUUCUGGAAUGUCACUAGGAUAUAGUGUCGCCUGAGUUUGCAGCAGUGCACUUUAAAAAUACAAUUGGAUUUUGUUGAUUCGUCAAAUAGAUAACUGGGGGUAAAAAAGAAAAUGAAGCCAUUUUAUACAUACUUGGAGAUCAUGGUUUUAGUGUCACCUGAAUUUGCAGCAGUGCACUUUAAAAAUACAAUUAGAUUUUGUUGAUUCGUCAAAUAGAUAACUGGGGGUAAAAAAGAAAAUGAAGCCAUUUUAUCGUCAAAUAGAUAAAUGAAGCCAUUUUACACUAUACUUGGAUAUAGUGUCACCUGAGUUUGCAGCAGUGCACUUUAAAAAUACAAUUGGAUUUUGUUGAUUCAUCAAAUAGAUAACUGGGGGUAAAAAAGAAAAUGAAGCCAUUUUGAACAUACUUGGAGAUCAUGGUUCUAUCUGGUGAUAAUUGUGAGUACAUUAUAACUACUUGUUGCUAGAAUCGCUUCCUGGAUGAUUCAAUUUAAUUAGCAAUAUUUUCUGCUGUGUUUUAGGGAUUUUUUUUUUCAACCAUUUUUUAAGAUGUUAGUAUUUGCCUACCGUAUAUACAGGA